rnacentral:rRNA from 1 species
GACGUAGGGGGCGAGCGUUGUCCGGAAUUACUGGGCGUAAAGAGCACGUAGGCGGGACUUUAAGUCAGGUGUGAAAGACCGGGGCUCAACCCCGGGGUUGCACUUGAAACUGGAGUUCUUGAGGGCAGGAGAGGGCAGUAGAAUUCCUGGUGUAGCGGUGAAAUGCGUAGAAAUCAGGAGGAAUACCAGUGGCGAAGGCGACUGCCUGGACUGACCCUGACGCUGAGGUGCGAAAGCGUGGGUAG